UUAAAAUGAUACUUCUUCUAACAUUGCUGCACUGUUGGUCAACAGUGCAGCAAUGUUAGAAGAAGUAUCAUUUGGAA
rfam:Strigamia maritima strain Brora ctg7180001229967, whole genome shotgun sequence.